AACGAACGCUGGCGGCAUGCCUAACACAUGCAAGUCGAACGAGACCUUCGGGUUUAGUGGCGCACGGGUGCGUAACGCGUUGGAACCUGCCCUUAGGUUCGGAAUAACUCCCCGAAAGGGGUGCUAAUACCGGAUAAUGUCUUCGGACCAAAGAUUUAUCGCGUUUGGAUGGGCUCGCGUUGGAUUAGAUGGUUGUGAGGGUAAAAGCCUACCAAGGCGACGAUCCAUAGCUGGUCUGAGAGGCUGGUCAGCCACACUGGGACUGAGACACGGCCCAGACUCCUACGGGAGGCAGCAGUGGGGAAUAUUGGACAAUGGGCGAAAGCCUGAUCCAGCAAUGCCGUGUGAGUGAUGAAGGCCUUAGGGUUGUAAAGCUCUUUUACCCGGGAUGAUAAUGACAGUACCGGGAGAAUAAGCUCCGGCUAACUCCGUG
rnacentral:rRNA from 1 species